AUACUUAUCUGGCAGAGGAGAUAUACCAUGAUCACGAAGGUGGUUUUCCCAGGGUGAGGCUUAUCCAUUGCACUUCGGAUGUGCUGACCCCAGCAAUUUCCCCAAACUGCAUAAUUUGUGGUAGUGGGGGACUAAAUUAAAAAAAAAAUCCAGGUAAACAGUUCUCUCUCU